rnacentral:rRNA from 1 species
GAUCGGCCCGCGUCUGAUUAGCUUGUUGGUGGGGUAACGGCCUACCAAGGCGACGAUCAGUAGCUGGUCUGAGAGGAUGAUCAGCCACACUGGGACUGAGACACGGCCCAGACUCCCACGGGAGGCAGCAGUGGGGAAUAUUGGACAAUGGGCGCAAGCCUGAUCCAGCCAUGCCGCGUGAGUGAUGAAGGCCUUAGGGUUGUAAAGCUCUUUUGUCCGGGACGAUAAUGACGGUACCGGAAGAAUAAGCCCCGGCUAACUUCGUGCCAGCAGCCGCGGUAAUACGAAGGGGGCUAGCGUUGCUCGGAAUCACUGGGCGUAAAGGGCGCGUAGGCGGCCGAUUAAGUCGGGGGUGAAAGCCUGUGGCUCAACCACAGAAUUGCCUUCGAUACUGGUUGGCUUGAGACCGGAAGAGGACAGCGGAACUGCGAGUGUAGAGGUGAAAUUCGUAGAUAUUCGCAAGAACACCAGUGGCGAAGGCGGCUGUCUGGUCCGGUUCUGACGCUGAGGCGCGAAAGCGUGGGGAGCAAACAGGAUUAGAUACCCUGGUAGUCCACGCC